GACGAACGCUGGCGGCGUGCUUAACACAUGCAAGUCGAACGGAAAGGCCCGGGUUUUGUGGGGUGCGCGAGUGGCGAACGGGUGAGUAACACGUCAGUAACCUGCCCUUAGCUGUGGGAUAACUUCAGGAAACUGGGGCUAAUACCGGAUAGGAGCUCCUGCUGCAUGGUGGGGGUUGGAAAGUUUCUGCGGUUGGGGAUGGACUGGCGGCUUAUCAGCUUGUUGGUGGGGUAGUGGCUUACCAAGGCUGUGACGGAGAGCCGGCCUGAGAGGGUGACCGGCCACCAUGGGACUGAGAUAGGGCCCAGUGUCCUACGGGGGGCAGCAGUGGGGAAUAUGGCCCAGUGGGCGGAAGCGUGAUGAAGAGGCGCCGGGUGUGGGAUGAAGGCCUUUGGGGAGUAAAACGCUUUGGCCUAUUACGAUGGGUGAGUGACGGUAAUGGGUAAAGAAGCACCGGCUAACUACGUG
rnacentral:rRNA from 1 species